GCCAGACUCCUACGGGAGGCAGCAGUGGGGAAUAUUGCGCAAUGGGCGAAAGCCUGACGCAGCGACGCCGCGUGAGGGAUGAAGGUCUUCGGAUCGUAAACCUCUGUCAGCAGGGAAGAACGGUCACUGUGCUAAUCAGCAGUGAAUUGACGGUACCUGCAAAGGAAGCACCGGCUAACUCCGUGCCAGCAGCCGCGGUAAUACGGAGGAUGCGAGCGUUAUCCGGAUUUAUUGGGUUUAAAGGGUGCGUAGGCGGAAGGUUAAGUCAGCGGUCAAAUGUCGGUGCUCAACACCGGCCUGCCGUUGAAACUGGUCUUCUUGAGUGAGCGAGAAGUAUGCGGAAUGCGUGGUGUAGCGGUGAAAUGCAUAGAUAUCACGCAGAACUCCGAUUGCGAAGGCAGCAUACCGGCGCUCAACUGACGCUGAGGCACGAAAGCGUGGGGAUCGAACAGGAUUAGAUACCCCAGUAA
rnacentral:rRNA from 1 species